GAUGAACGCUGGCGGCGUGCCUAAUACAUGCGAGUCGAGCGAACAGACGAGGAGCUUGCUCCUCUGACGUUAGCGGCGGACGGGUGAGUAACACGUGGAUAACCUACCUAUAAGACUGGGAUAACUUCGGGAAACCGGAGCUAAUACCGGAUAAUAUAUUGAACCGCAUGGUUCAAUAGUGAAAGACGGUUUUGCUGUCACUUAUCGAUGGAUCCGCGCCGCAUUAGCUAGUUGGUAAGGUAACGGCUUACCAAGGCGACGAUGCGUAGCCGACCUGAGAGGGUGAUCGGCCACACUGGAACUGAGACACGGUCCAGACUCCUACGGGAGGCAGCAGUAGGGAAGCUUCCGCAAUGGGCGAAAGCCUGACGGAGCAACGCCGCGUGAGUGAUGAAGGUCUUCGGAUCGUAAAACGCUGUUAUUAGGGAAGAACAAAUGUGUAAGUAACUAUGCACGUCUGGACGGUACCUAAUCAGAAAGCCACGGCUAACUACGU
rnacentral:rRNA from 1 species